GACGAACGCUGGCGGCGUGCCUAACACAUGCAAGUCGAGCGGAGUCGAUCGACGGAAGCCUUCGGGCGGAAGAUGGUUGACUUAGCGGCGGAUGGGUGAGUAACGCGUGGGCAACCUGCCUCGAAGACCGGGAUAACAGCCCGAAAGGGCUGCUAAUACCGGAUGUGGUCAAGGAUCCGCAUGGAUUUUUGAUUAAAGGGGAAACCCGUUUCGAGAUGGGCCCGCGUCCUAUCAGCUAGUUGGUGAGGUAAAAGCUCACCAAGGCGACGACGGGUAGCCGGCCUGAGAGGGUGACCGGCCACACUGGAACUGAGACACGGUCCAGACUCCUACGGGGGCAGCAGUGGGGAAUAUUGCGCAAUGGACGGAAGUCUGACGCAGCGACGCCGCGUGAGCGACGAAGGCCUUCGGGUCGUAAAGCUCUGUUCUUGGGGACGAAUAAAAUGACGGUACCCAAGGAGAAAGCCCCGGCUAACUACGUGCCAGCAGCCGCGGAAUCGAUACUCGUAA
rnacentral:rRNA from 1 species